rnacentral:piRNA from 1 species
GGCUGCUUCUGAGUGUGGAUGGGCUUUGU